AUCUAAACCUGAUGGCAGCGAACACGAGUGAAAUUUUUCAUUGAAUGAAUAAAGCGAACAGCAGGACGAACA
rnacentral:sRNA from 1 species